AUACGAAAGUUGCAAGCGUUGUUCGGAUUUACUGGGCGUAAAGAGAUCGUAGGUGGUUUAUUAAGUCGGAUGUGAAAUCCCGGGGCUCAACCCCGGAACUGCAUUCGAUACUGGUAGACUAGAGUUUGGGAGGGGUAAGCGGAAUUCCGUGUGUAGCAGUGAAAUGCGUAGAUAUACGGAGGAACACCUGAGGCGAAGGCGGCUUACUGGACCAAUACUGACACUGCGGAUCGAAAGCGUGGGUAGCAAACAGGAUUAGAAACCCUAGUAGUCC
rnacentral:rRNA from 1 species